GUGCCAGCCGCCGCGGUAAUACGGAGGGGGCGAGCGUUAUUCGGAAUUAUUGGGCGUAAAGGGCGCGUAGGCGGCGCGAUAAGUCAAAGGUGAAAUCCCUCGGCUCAACUGAGGAACUGCCUUUGAAACUGUCGUGCUUGAGGCCGGGAGGGGGUAGCGGAAUUCCCAGUGUAGCGGUGAAAUGCGUAGAUAUUGGGAGGAACACCAGUGGCGAAGGCGGCUACCUGGACCGGUUCUGACGCUGAUGCGCGAAAGCGUGGGUAGCAAACAGGAUUAGAUACCCUUGUAGUCC
rnacentral:rRNA from 1 species